CGCCCGUCAAACCACGAAAGUUGAUAAUACCCAACGCCGGUGGCCUAACCGUAAGGAGGGAGCCGUCUAAGGUAGGAUCAAUGAUUGGGGUUAAGUCGUAACAAGGUAUCCCUACGGGAACGUGGGGAUGGAUCACCUCCUUUCUAAGGAAAACAUGACUUAAGAAGUCGAGCGCUUUCGAAAGAAAAACGCUAAACAUGUAUUAAACCACUCAUCAUAUUCAGUUUUGAAAGACUUAUUAAUUUAAGUUUUUCUUAUGAAAAUCGCAAGAUUUUCCAUUAAGAUUUGAUCUUUGAAAAGUAGAUAAAUUCUGUCGUAAGGUUAAGGAAGUAAGGGCACACAGUGAAUGCCUUGGCACUAAGCACCGAAGAAGGACGCAACUAACGGCGAAACGCCACGGGGAGCAGUAAGUACGCGACGAUCCGUGGGAAUCCGAAUGGGGAAACCCGUCAUGUGGAAGACAUGACAUCCUAGUAAUAGGAGGGGGACGCAGGGAACUGAAAUAUCUAAGUACCUGCAGGAAAAGAAAGUAACAACGAUUCUACUAGUAGCGACGAGCGAACGUGGAGGAGCCAGCUUACAUAAUAGUUACAAAACCAUAAUAUAGACGAGCUGCAUGGGAAGGCAGACCAAAGAGGGUGAGAGUCCCGUAGUCGAAAUGUUGUGGACUAGGUAAGCAAGAAGUAGGGCGGGACACGAGAAAUCCCGUUUGAAGAUCGGAGGACCAUCUCCGAAGGCUAAAUAUGUCUUAGUGACCGAUAGUGAACCA
rnacentral:sRNA from 2 species